rnacentral:tmRNA from 1 species
GGGGGCGUACCGGUUUCGACGGGGACGCGGAAGUAUGAAUAGCGGGCAGAUGCGCCCAGCAUCUUUAAAAUGGGCAAUUAUAAAUUAAAGAACAACGAUUACGUUGCUCCUGUCGCUGCUUAAGCAGUGACCGUUCCGCCCGGGAGGUCCACGGCCCGGGAUCGGGGCGUCGAUUAGUGGAGAACGUGAGUAGGCAAAGCUUUGAGCUUACCACGCAUAAUGAAGCUACCAAGCCGCUGAGUGUGACGGUCCACGCUCCGGCAAGGGAAUGUAAAUGACCGCCUGCGCCCGGAGAAGUUCAUAUGGAUGAGUUUUCGGACGGGAGUUCAACUCUCCCCGCCUCCACCA